AUUGAACGCUGGCGGCAUGCCUUACACAUGCAAGUCGAACGGCAGCACGGGAGCAAUCCUGGUGGCGAGUGGCGAACGGGUGAGUAAUAUAUCGGAACGUGCCCAGUCGUGGGGGAUAACGUAGCGAAAGCUACGCUAAUACCGCAUACGAUCUAUGGAUGAAANCGGGGAUCGCAAGACCUCGCGCGAUUGGAGCGGCCGAUAUCAGAUUAGGUAGUUGGUGAGGUAAAGGCUCACCAAGCCGACGAUCUGUAGCUGGUCUGAGAGGACGACCAGCCACACUGGGACUGAGACACGGCCCAGACUCCUACGGGAGGCAGCAGUGGGGAAUUUUGGACAAUGGGCGCAAGCCUGAUCCAGCAAUGCCGCGUGCAGGAUGAAGGCCUUCGGGUUGUAACUGCUUUGUACGGAACGAAACGGUGAGCUCUAAUACAGUUUGCUAAUGACGGUACCGUAAGAAUAAGCACCGGCUAACUACGUG
rnacentral:rRNA from 1 species